rnacentral:rRNA from 1 species
UACGUAGUGGGCAAGCGUUGUCCGGAAUCAUUGGGCGUAAAGAGCGUGUAGGCGGUCCGGUCAGUCGGUUGUGAAAGUCAAGGGCUCAACCCUUGAACGCCGGCCGAAACUGCCGGGCUAGAGUCCGGAAGAGGUGAGUGGAAUUCCUGGUGUAGCGGUGAAAUGCGCAGAUAUCAGGAGGAACACCAAUGGCGAAGGCAGCUCACUGGGACGGUACUGACGCUGAGACGCGAAAGCGUGGGGAGCAAACAGG